rnacentral:snoRNA from 1 species
AUCCCAUGGUGAGGGCAUUCUGAUAUGUAAUCUUAAAAGCACUCCCAUGCCUCAGGGAUAGAUCCAUCGUACUGCUAUUGAAAAGUUGAGAUCUUUGCAUGGAGGAC